UGAUCCUGGCUCAGGACGAACGCUGGCGGCGUGCCUAAUACAUGCAAGUCGAGCGAAGUUAAGGGAGCUUGCUCCCAAGACUUAGCGGCGGACGGGUGAGUAACACGUGGGUAACCUGCCUGUAAGACCGGGAUAACUCCGGGAAACCGGAGCUAAUACUGGAUAAUCAACAUAGUUGCAUAACUAAGUUGUAAAAGAUGGCGCAAGCUAUCACUUACAGAUGGGCCCGCGGCGCAUUAGCUAGUUGGUAGGGUAAAGGCCUACCAAGGCGACGAUGCGUAGCCGACCUGAGAGGGUGAUCGGCCACACUGGGACUGAGACACGGCCCAGACUCCUACGGGAGGCAGCAGUAGGGAAUCUUCCGCAAUGGACGAAAGU
rnacentral:rRNA from 1 species